GGGCAAGUGGCGGAACUGGUAGACGCGCAGGUCUCAAAAACCUGUUUGCCUCUGGCGAGUGAGGGUUCGACUCCCUCCUUGCCCA
rfam:Elusimicrobia bacterium GWA2_51_34 gwa2_scaffold_675, whole genome shotgun sequence.